CAUUUCUUUCAUUUGGCUUGGAUGAUUUUGGAGAGAAUUUCAAGAGGGAUUUUAUCAAGCAUCAAAGGUGAGUUGUUUCUACUUAUUUCCAAGUUAAAUACAAGAUUAUAUGUGAAUUAGGACAUGAAAAUCAGUAGAAAAGUGGGGUUUUAGGGCUUGUGCUUUUGAGAUUUUCUAGGGUCGAUUUGAAGGGUCAAACAGCUCCGAUUUUUGUGUUCUUUAUAUGUAUGGACUCGUGAAAGGACGAAGAACAUCUUGGUAUAAAAAUUUCUGAGUUUUGAGACGUGGGCCCGGGACUCGGGUUUUGUCAAAUUCGUGAAUUUUGAUAUUUUUCGAUUGCUUUCGAUUGGGUAUUGUCCCUUUAGCAUAAUGCGACAUAUUCAUUGUGAUUUUGGGCAGAUUCGACGCACGUGGAGGCCAAUUCGAGGGGCAAAGGCGUCGCGAGCUAAAGAAGUAGCCGGUUUGAGGUGAGUAAUUGAUGUAAAUGAUGUCCUGAGGGUUUGAAACCCCAGAAUUUCACAUCGUAACGCUAUAUUGAGGUGACUUGCAUGUCGGAUAAUGGGCGUGGGGUAGAGCACCAUUGGGGAUUGUGACUUAGUCCGUCCCGAGAGUUGUUUUUACCGUGUUUUCUACUUGGAUUUAAUUGUUACAUUUGGGCUUCUUGCCAAUUAUUUUU
rnacentral:lncRNA from 1 species